CCUUUGAAGCCCAAGAAGCAAAAAUCCUUCAAGUUCCUCCACAAGAGAGAGAAAGAGGAGAAGGAGGACAGGAAGGAGGAGAAGAGGAAGGAGAACGUGGAGAGAAAGAUUGACAAGCGGAAGGAGAAGGAGGAGAAAAAGAGGUUUAAGAAGGACAAGAAGAAGAAGGAGGAACAGGAGGAAGAGGCAGUGCCAGUGUUUGGAGUGCCACUGUGCCUGGCCGUCCAGCGCUGCCCGGCACACGAUGGCAUCCAGCUGCCCGCCAUUGUCAGGGAGUGCAUUGACCAGAUAGAGAAACGAAGGCUCAGCCUGCUCGGUGGGAAUAAUACCAAGGUAGCAGUGAAGUUCAUUGUUGAUGCAACAAUGACUAAUUCAUUGCAGACUAAGUUUAAUUAGGAAGGAAGGCUGGGUUGGAAAACAAAGACGAAUGAAGUUAAGAGAGCCUUUAAGACUACGAAACUCUGCUCAGUCAUUACAAGUGUGCUACUCCACAAAUCACAUCUGUCAACAAAUGAGGAUGAGAUUGGGAGAACUCUCAGGAAUUACUUGAGGAAUGCUGGAGACAGAAGUGGUGAACGUUUGCGGCGUAUUAAAGUUACUGGGGCUGUGAAUCUGCUGGCCUGGGUUUGAAUUCCGGCCUUGGCAGUUGGUGUGCAGCCCAUCCAACAGUUCAUCUUCCCCAUCAUGUUGAUGUAAACUGGAGCGGUGGCACUGCCCGGCACUUCCUCAAGAAGGCUCUCCUGCCCCUGACUGGCAGGUGUGACAGUGUUGGCAGUCUGCUGCUUCUUGAUUGCGUAUGGUGCACCGGUGGCCGAGUGGUCAGCGUACGUACGUGGUGAUCCAGAGGACUCCACUCCCACCGCAGGACGCUGAGAGUUUUCAACUAUUGACAAGUGGCGGAGGGUCACCAACAUGCUGCCCAGCAGAUCUUCAGUCAACCCUAACUUCAGCGUCUUUGAUCAAGAGGGGCACCACCUCCACACCACACAUUCUUAUCGCCUAGUUUGAUACCCUACUUGUCCAUCUCACAUGCCCCAUGUAUCUCAGCAUUCUGCACUCUUGGCUCCAUGUCAUCCUCUCCAACUUGUUGGUUCGUAUAGCAUAACCGGCCUCACAUACAUAGAAGUGGUCAAUAUACCUAGGCUAUAAUAUUAUAGUUAAGGACUCUUAUACGAGGUAUCGCCCCAUACAGAGGUGUCAAAGUAAGUCUGUCUGAUGGUAGGUUGGCUGACUGCUGUCGGGACCCAAGCCAGCAUGCCCUGUGUGCGGGAGGAGGAAAGAGGGAAAAGGAGAAAUGUUGUGUGUGUGUGUGUGUGUGUCAUUCUCACCACGGUGGAGUGCAAACACUCAGUAGUUGUAGUCAAGGCUUAAUGAAAGUGAUGAGUGGUGUUGAGACUGAGUGAGCAGGUUUUUCACCCCAUGUUAGUGGGAACACUUGAUAGGUUUUCUUUGUGCUACUUGUUUCUUGUGUUUACAUGUUAGUUUAUAAUUAGACUAAGUUCUAAGUGUUAUGAUUUAGUCUUGUAUGGCUGAGUCCUGUCCCUUGACCCUUAGUUCAUCAUCAGAAUCUCUAAACAACUAUAUUUACCUCAAGUAAUAUUCUUAAAGUCACGCUGCCCAUGUUAUUUGGCAGAUGAUAACCCUGUAUGCGAUAACGGUGCCUUAUAAGACUUGGUAAAUAAACUACUAAUUUUACUCUCUGGUUUAAGUGAUCAACAAUUAAUUUUACUUUGAGGUAUAAUGAACCAACAUAAUUAAGGAGUGCCCAUGCCAGGCACGACAUCAAGAGUAUUUUUCUGUUGACCAGCAGACUUACUGACCAUGUCAAAUAGUCUGUUGAGGCAGUGGCUUCUGCAGGUCCUUUCCUCCCUUCUGUUUGCCACACAGUCCCAAUUUCCUAUUUCCUGUCCCCUCUUUCUUCGGGCACCCGUAAUGCACCCCUACUUGAUUUACAUUUCUCAGCAUCUCUUUGUGGCACCUGUGCACAGGGCAGAGUUAGUAGCCAUUUCUCCUCCACACCAACUACCUUCUUGUAUACAUGGUUUCUCAGUAAUUAUUUAUUUGUUGUCCUGUGUUAGCUGUUACUUGCUGCUACAUCAAACUGCAGUUAGUUAGUCCAAUAAGAACAAAUGAAUGACUAAGUCUAGUGUUGUUGUUAUUCCCAAGCUCCAUUGGCAAUGGCGAACUGAAGCAUAGUAUUACACAUUCAUUGAACACAAUUAAAACUAACUACCCUAAUCAAAUAACCUAACCUGGUCUGAGCUAACUAAACUAAAUAUAAGGUAACCUAACAUAACCUGGCCUUAAUGCCUGCUUCCAAAAUGAAAUAAAUCUGAUAUCAAUUUGCAAAAUGUAUCUGGGGAACAAAAAGAUGGAAAAUGACAAGAAUUGUCGGCUUCAAGAUGACCUCCACUGACUAAGAAUGAUGCAAUGUGACAGGUCAGUCUUGAAAAUGAUUUCUGAUGAUUAUUAAGAAUGACAUGAUCUACAACAAUUGUCUGCUUUGGAAAUGACCCCAGCUGAAAUAAUAUCGCAUGAAUCUAACCUUUUUACAUCCAUCCCUCUCCAACAUCCUAUUCCAUUCUGUCACUACUGUUACCAUAACCCUCUUCUAUACUACAUCACUCAAGUAACAUGUGCUCACUCAUAGCGAGAGAGGCAGAAAGAGAGAGACAGACAGGCAGAGACAGAAAGAGACAGACAGGCAGAGACAGACAAGCAGAAAGAGACAGACGUAAAGACAGAGGCAGAAAGAGACAGACAGACAGAUCAAGAGAGGCAGAAAGAGACAGAGACAGACAGAUAGAUCAAGAGAGGCAGAAAGAGACAGACAGACAGAGGCAGAAAGAGACAGACAGACAGAUCAAGAGAGGCAGAAAGAGACAGACAGACAGAUAGAUCAAGAGAGGCAGAAAGAGACAGACAGACAGAUCAAGAGAGGCAGAAAGAGACAGACAGACAGAUAGAUCAAGAGAGGCAGAAAGAGACAGACAGACAGAUCAAGAGAGGCAGAAAGAGACAGAGACAGACAGACAGAUCAAGAGAGGCAGAAAGAGACAGACAGACAGAAAGAGACAGACG